UACGUAGGGCGCAAGCGUUGUCCGGAAUUAUUGGGCGUAAAGAGCUCGUAGGCGGUUUGUCGCGUCUGCUGUGAAAACCUAAGGCUCAACCUUGGGCUUGCAGUGGGUACGGGCAGACUAGAGUGCGGUAGGGGUGACUGGAAUUCCUGGUGUAGCGGUGGAAUGCGCAGAUAUCAGGAGGAACACCGAUGGCGAAGGCAGGUCACUGGGCC
rnacentral:rRNA from 1 species